rnacentral:rRNA from 1 species
AGAACGAACGCUGGCGGCAGGCUUAACACAUGCAAGUCGAGCGCCCAGCAAUGGGAGCGGCGGACGGGUGAGUAACACGUGGGAACAUGCCUUUCGGUACGGAACAACUUCGGGAAACUGAAGCUAAUGCCGUAUGCGCCCUUACGGGGAAAGAUUUAUCGCCGAAAGAUUGGCCCGCGUCUGAUUAGCUAGUUGGUGAGGUAACGGCUCACCAAGGCUUCGAUCAGUAGCUGGUUUGAGAGAACGACCAGCCACACUGGGACUGAGACACGGCCCAGACUCCUACGGGAGGCAGCAGUGGGGAAUCUUGGACAAUGGGGGAAACCCUGAUCCAGCGAUGCCGCGUGAGUGAUGAAGGCCUUCGGGUUGUAAAACUUCUUUCGACGGGGACGAUAAUGACGGUACCCGUAGAAGAAGCUCCGGCUAACUUCGCGCCAGCAGCCGC